rnacentral:rRNA from 1 species
GGGGUACUUAUUUUGCUUAUUGCACCACAUGUGUUUUUCUUUGAAACAAACUUGCUUUGGCGGUGGGCCCAGCCUGCCGCCAGAGGUCUAAACUUACAACCAAUUUUUUAUCAACUUGUCACACCAGAUUAUUACUAAUAGUCAAAACUUUCAACAACGGAUCUCUUGGUUCUCGCAUCGAUGAAGAACGCAGCGAAAUGCGAUACGUAAUAUGAAUUGCAGAUAUUCGUGAAUCAUCGAAUCUUUGAACGCACAUUGCGCCCUCUGGUAUUCCGGAGGGCAUGCCUGUUUGAGCGUCGUUUCUCCCUCAAACCGCUGGGUUUGGUGUUGAGCAAUACGACUUGGGUUUGCUUGAAAGACGGUAGUGGUAAGGCGGGAUCGCUUUGACAAUGGCUUAGGUCUAACCAAAAACAUUGCUUGCGGCGGUAACGUCCACCACGUAUAUCUUCAAACUUUGACCUCAAAUCAGGUAGGACUACCCGCUGAACUUAAGCAUAUCAAUAAGCGGAGGAA